rnacentral:rRNA from 1 species
UACGGGGGGGGCAAGCGUUGUUCGGAAUUACUGGGCGUAAAGGGCUCGUAGGCGGCCAACUAAGUCAGACGUGAAAUCCCUCGGCUUAACCGGGGAACUGCGUCUGAUACUGGAUGGCUUGAGGUUGGGAGAGGGAUGCGGAAUUCCAGGUGUAGCGGUGAAAUGCGUAGAUAUCUGGAGGAACACCUGUGGCGAAAGCGGCUCACUGGACCACAACUGACGCUGAGGCGCGAAAGCUAGGGGAGCAAACAGG